rnacentral:rRNA from 1 species
UACGAAGGGGGCUAGCGUUGCUCGGAAUUACUGGGCGUAAAGCGUGCGCAGGCGGUUUUGUAAGCCAGAUGUGAAAUCCCCGGGCUCAACCUGGGAAUGGCAUUUGGGACUGCAAGGCUGGAGUACGGCAGAGGAGACUGGAAUUCCUGGUGUAGCAGUGAAAUGCGUAGAUAUCAGGAGGAACACCGGUGGCGAAGGCGGAUCUCUGGGCCGUAACUGACGCUGAGGAGCGAAAGCAUGGGGAGCGAACAGG